UAGUAAUAUACUAUAGGUCUUGGAGUUAGCCUGCAAAGGCGCUCCAUUACCGCCAAACCUUGUAAAUAUAACUUAAUUGUUACCUCGGUGGGCUCGCCUGCCGGCGGACAUAAUUAAACUCUUUUAAAAAUUGUCUGCAAAUAUUGUAAAAGUCUGAACUUUAAUGUUAAUAUAUUA
rnacentral:misc_RNA from 1 species